CGCAUUUUAUUUGGCACAUUUGUCAAGCCUCAUUUAAAUUGGAGAUUCUAUGCGUCACAUGCAGGUCAGCCACUAGGAAGGCCACUAGGUGGCGCUGUUUGUAGGCCAAUUUCGUUACGCUAAUAACUCCCGCAUAGUUUGUCUCACAUUCAAAAACCUUAUAUCCACGCGUUCGGUGAAUGGAGCUGAACCUCCCCAUAUAGGCCACGCCCACUUCCGCCUAGAUUUUUUUUUUUCUAGAGCGCAAAAUGUCCAUAAAUGACUUUUUCGUGUUCCUCCUACACACUUUGUCCGAUGCGCACGAAACUUUUGCACGUUUCAUCUGUGGACCGUCCUGACAACAAAAGUAAUUUGAAGAAUUUUGAUAUUAUAAAACAUAAGGAAGUUAUAAAAUUAGCACUUCCUGUUGAUUUUUCGUCAAAAAAGGAAGUGGGGUAUUUCUCCACAUUGGUAUGUCCGAUUUACACCAACCUUGGGUCCAUAGUUCCCCAUGUCUUCCUUAAGCAUCGUGCACAAUUUCAGGUCAUCACCACAAGGUGGCGCUCUUUAAAAUGAAGGAGUUUAUAGCUCUACAACGGUAUGUGUGAUUAAGAUGAAACUUGGUACGCUGCUUCCCCAUGGCUCCCUGAGGCUCACCUAAAAAGGACAAAAAAAAUACGCCACUAGGUGGUGCUCUUUUGGCAUGAUAAAUCACUCGUAAUAGUUAUGAAUAUGAAAUUCACAGGGUACGUGUAGAGUGGUGCCUGAAGCUCACAUACCAAAAAUCCUGUUUGUCCUGCUUGUAGCGCCCCCUACAGGAUAAAAAAACAUCAGCCCCGGCGCCACGUUUCACCGACAUGUACGAAACUCAAUAGGCAUGUAUAAUGUGCCGGGGCGUACAAAAAAGCCUCUUGGACCCAUACCUCAAAUCCCACAGGAAGUCGGCUAUUUUCAUUUAAAAUUUGCACUUUUGGCGGCCAUUUUGUGGUCAUUUUGACUCUUUGGGCUUGUUUUAGAACUAACUGCUCCUAGGGAAUUUAUCAGAUCUGCUUCAAAAUUGGUCAGUACAGUCAAAACAUGGUGCUGAAUGAACGCAUUAUAUUUUGUGACUGUACGUUGAAGGGCGUGUCCGUGGCGUGCCCUCAAAGUUGGCCAUUUAGAACAAAUGUCACUGUGAUGUCAUUUUUGCAUUUCAGGGCUUCUAUUUGAAUGAUCCCCUCCUACAGCUUCUAUCGGAUCUUCUUCAAAAUUGGGCAGUCCAGUCACAACAUGGGGCUGAAUGAACGCAAAUUAUUUGGUGACUGUACGUUGAAGGGCGUGUCCGUGGCGUGCCCUCAAAGUUGGCCAUUUAGAACAAAUGUCACACUGUGAUGUCAUUUUGGCCUUUCAGGGCUUCUAUUUGAAUGAUUUCCUCUGACACGUUCUAACGGAUCUUCUUCAAAAUUGGGCAGUACAGUCACAACGUGGUGCUGAAUGAAAGCAUUAUAUUUUGUGACUGUACGUUGAAGGGCGUGUCCGUGGCGUGCCCUCAAAGUUGGCCAUUUAGAACAAAUGUCACACUGUGAUGUCAUUUUGGCCUUUCAGGGCUUCUAUUUGAAUGAUCUCCUCUGACACGUUCUAACGGAUCUUCUUCAAAAUUGGGCAGUACAGUCACAACAUGGUGCUGAAUGAACGCAUUUCAUUUUGUGACUGUACGUUGAAGGGCGUGUCCGUGGCCUGCCGUCAAAGUUGGCCAUUUUGAAGCCCGUGGUCCUGUAUUUGAACAAACAAACUCCUUGAGACUUUAUCAGAUCUGCUUCAAAACUUGACAGUACUCUUGAAUAAUCUUGCUGAUUACAAGUUGUGCUAUUUAUGACUGUACGUUGAAGGGCGUGUCCCAGGUGUCUCGUCAAAGUUGCACAUUUUGAAUUCUGUGGUCUUUUUUUUCAAAGUGAUGAAACACAAACACCCCUCCGCUCCCACUAGCCACAUCUACAAACCAUAUUUCCUAGGGAGUAUUGUUCGUGGAGCAUAGUGGGAAACCGCUGGAAGUCACUUAUUAAAUUGCAAGAUAAAUAGGGGACUUAUCAAAUCGUCUUCAAAAUUGGAUAGUCUUAUAAAAACAAUGUGUACAUGAAGAACUGAGCUAUUUGUGACUGUACGUCAAACUGCGUGCCACUGACCCCUUGUCGAAUUCUGAUGAUUUUCCAUUAAGCGGUACUCGUAACUUCAGUGUGCAAUGUCCAAUUUCCAAUAAACUUCAUAUAUUCUGUAACAGUCUCGCCCUGAACGCGUCCUCAUAACAUCAGCCUACGUAUUACAGUCCCGCCCUGAACCUGUCUACGUGACAAGAUUCAGAUAAAGUGAAAGCACAGCAUACUGGCAACAGGAAGGAAGCGCUGCGUGGCGAUACGGAGCUGAUUUGGAGCAGAUUUACGUGACGUAUUCGCGUUGCGGUCCGCGCUUGUUGCGACGGCACGCGGCGUGGCCUCGGCGCACCCCGACCGCACGUGACGCGUUUGCGGCGCGCCCCGACGAGCGCCGGGUGCGAGGUCCCGCCCAACGCUGCUUGCAGCUUUAAUUGUAAUU